GACGAACGUUGGCGGCGUGCUUAACACAUGCAAGUCGAACGGAAAGGCCCUGCUUUUGUGGGGUGCUCGAGUGGCGAACGGGUGAGUAACACGUGAGUAACCUGCCCUUGACUUUGGGAUAACUUCAGGAAACUGGGGCUAAUACCGGAUAGGAGCUCCUGCUGCAUGGUGGGGGUUGGAAAGUUUCGGCGGUUGGGGAUGGACUCGCGGCUUAUCAGCUUGUUGGUGGGGUAGUGGCUUACCAAGGCUUUGACGGGUAGCCGGCCUGAGAGGGUGACCGGCCACAUUGGGACUGAGAUACGGCCCAGACUCCUACGGGAGGCAGCAGUGGGGAAUAUUGCACAAUGGGCGGAAGCCUGAUGCAGCAACGCCGCGUGCGGGAUGACGGCCUUCGGGUUGUAAACCGCUUUCGCCUGUGACGAAGCGUGAGUGACGGUAAUGGGUAAAGAAGCACCGGCUAACUACGUGCCAGCAGCCGCGGUGAUACGUAGGGUGCGAGCGUUGUCCGGAUUUAUUGGGCGUGAAGGGCUCGUAGGUGGUUGAUCGCGUCGGAAGUGUAAUCUUGGGGCUUAACCCUGAGCGUGCUUUCGAUACGGGUUGACUUGAGGAAGGUAGGGGAGAAUGGAAUUCCUGGUGGAGCGGUGGAAUGCGCAGAUAUCAGGAGGAACACCAGUGGCGAAGGCGGUUCUCUGGGCCUUUCCUGACGCUGAGGAGCGAAAGCGUGGGGAGCGAACAGGCUUAGAUACCCUGGUAGUCCACGCUGUAAACGGUGGGUACUAGGUGUGGGGUCCAUUCCACGGGUUCCGUGCCGUAGCUAACGCUUUAAGUACCCCGCCUGGGGAGUACGGCCGCAAGGCUAAAACUCAAAGGAAUUGACGGGGCCCCGCACAAGCGGCGGAGCAUGCGGAUUAAUUCGAUGCAACGCGUAGAACCUUACCUGGGUUUGACAUGGAUCGGGAGUGCUCAGAGAUGGGUGUGCCUCUUUUGGGGUCGGUUCACAGGUGGUGCAUGCCUGUCGUCAGCUCGUGUCGUGAGAUGUUGGGUUAAGUCCCGCAACGAGCGCAACCCUUGUUCACUGUUGCCAGCACGUUAUGGUGGGGACUCAGUGGAGACCGCCGGGGUCAACUCGGAGGAAGGUGGGGAUGACGUCAAGUCAUCAUGCCCCUUAUGUCCAGGGCUUCACGCAUGCUACAAUGGCUGGUACAGAGAGUGGCGAGCCUGUGAGGGUGAGCGAAUCUCGGAAAGCCGGUCUCAGUUCGGAUUGGGGUCUGCAACUCGACCUCAUGAAGUCGGAGUCGCUAGUAAUCGCAGAUCAGCAACGCUGCGGUGAAUACGUUCCCGGG
rnacentral:rRNA from 1 species